CAGUCGCCGCGGUAAUACGUAUGUCACAAGCGUUAUCCGGAUUUAUUGGGCGUAAGCGCGUCUAGGUGGUUAUGUAAGACUGAUGUGAAAAUGCAGGGCUCAACUCUGUAUUGCGUUGGAAACUGUGUAACUAGAGUACUGGAGAGGUAAGCGGAACUACAAGUGUAGAGGUGAAAUUCGUAGAUAUCUGUAGGAAUGCCGAUGGGGAAGCCAGCUUACUGGACAGAUACUGACGCUAAAGCGCGAAAGCGUGGGUAGCAAACAGGAUUAGAUACCCGUGUAGUCCCUGUCUCUUAUACAC
rnacentral:rRNA from 1 species